UUACAUUUUGGUGUAAUGAUGUAUGUAUGUAUGCUGUAUGAUUAUUUUUGUACAAGCAGAAUAGUUUUUUUUUUUUUUUUUGCUUUUUUCCUUUUCCCUCUAGAGUCUCCAAAUGGAUUCAUUCCAAGAAUGAACAUUUCUCAUGUACAGAAUGGAGUGUACCACACUAUUGGACAAAUGAUGUCUACCAUCAUAGUCCAGGGUGGUGAGCCUCCAGCCCUACUUUCUCCUCUUGUAGUAGACUACCUUCUCACAGGACACAUCUUUCAGGUGAAUGUCACUCCAGAUUAUGUUGCUGACAGGGAACUGAGAGAAGCUCUGAAGAAGGUUGAUGAAGCAACAACCAAGGAUGAGCUGGAGCAAGCAGUAGAAUGCUGUGAUCCAUGGCGAUACCAAAUCGAAGGUCUCCCAAACCCUGUCAGCAUGGACAACAAAGAUGAUUUUGUACAGAAAGCAAUACUGUACAAUGUCCUCAUUCAAUGACAGAGUUGCUAUGAUCAGUUAGUCGAGGGUUUGAAGCACUAUGGGGUUCUGCCGCUCUGGAAAGAAAACCCUGGCAUUAGGGUUCUUCUUGAGAUGUCAGUGAUGUCACAGCAGAUGUUGUAGCUACACUCUUGAAACCAAACUACUCUGUUCUGGGAAGCAACAGAAGACCAAGAAAAGAGUUAAUGGUGGUUAAGAUCAGAGAGUUUCUCCACUGUGUGGAAGAGAAAGACCUUGUGGGACGUCUGGAUGCCAGGAACCUAACUGAGGCAGAAAGGGCAUUUAUCCUGACAUUGACUCCUGGACACAUCCUAGCUUUUGCAACAGGAAGCAGCAAAGUUCCAGCGACUGGAUUUCUUCCUAGUCCAAAACUAACUUUUGUCCAUGAUGACACAAAACACCUUCCCAUUGCUCACAUAUGCUCAAAAGAGCUUCAGAUCUUUGUCAACAGUAAGAACCUCGCAGAUGAUGAUGAAUUUGAUUACCAUUUUCUGGUGGCUCUCAUGAAUGGAGACAUUUUUAGCGCAGUGUAGUCUACAGAAGAAACCUAAUUGCAGAGCAGUACACAAAAAAAUCCAAGUAAACAUGGUAGUGAGUAAAUUUGUAAGCUCUUAAGUACACUACACAUUAAACCACCUACGGGUAGGUUUGAUGUGAAUUUAGUUUUUACUAGUUUACAACAUUUCAUGUUGAAACUGUUCAGUAUUAGUUAAACCUGUGCACAUUGGUAGUAUAAACCUUUGCACGUUGUUAGUAUUUACUUAAUCCACACCACUUGUGUUGAGGUUACAUUAACAUUCUUUAGUAUGGGCAAAAGAGUUACAGUUACCCAACUACAGUUUUGUGCAAUACAAAUUCCUGUACUCUGUGAUACAAUGUUUUCCCCUUGUUACCAUCAUUUUCAAGAGGGUUAACUGCAACAACAAGUUAUUGUAAGUGCUGCUCGUUAAGUGGGCAAAAGGAGUCAUGUGCAUGAGGUGUUGAUGCUGAAUCCACUGUUCUUUCUUCAGUUGCAGCAUCUGGAUGAUUAAGUAACAGGAGAUGUCGGUCUAAUGUGAAAAGCUGAAUAGGGGUUCUGUUCCCUUCAGAGCAAAGUGAAUGAUUGUUAAAUGCAGCUUGAAACUCAUCCAGUGUGCGAUUGAUCCUCGGAAUGUCCACACAA